rnacentral:rRNA from 1 species
GGGUUGUGAGGUUAAGCGACUAAGCGUACACGGUGGAUGCCCUGGCAGUCAGAGGCGAUGAAGGACGUGCUAAUCUGCGAUAAGCGUCGGUAAGGUGAUAUGAACCGUUAUAACCGGCGAUUUCCGAAUGGGGAAACCCAGUGUGUUUCGACACACUAUCAUUAACUGAAUCCAUAGGUUAAUGAGGCGAACCGGGGGAACUGAAACAUCUAAGUACCCCGAGGAAAAGAAAUCAACCGAGAUUCCCCCAGUAGCGGCGAGCGAACGGGGAGCAGCCCAGAGCCUGAAUCAGUGUGUGUGUUAGUGGAAGCGUCUGGAAAGGCGCGCGAUACAGGGUGACAGCCCCGUACACAAAAAUGCACAUGCUGUGAGCUCGAUGAGUAGGGCGGGACACGUGGUAUCCUGUCUGAAUAUGGGGGGACCAUCCUCCAAGGCUAAAUACUCCUGACUGACCGAUAGUGAACCAGUACCGUGAGGGAAAGGCGAAAAGAACCCCGGCGAGGGGAGUGAAAAAGAACCUGAAACCGUGUACGUACAAGCAGUGGGAGCACGCUUAGGCGUGUGACUGCGUACCUUUUGUAUAAUGGGUCAGCGACUUAUAUUCUGUAGCAAGGUUAACCGAAUAGGGGAGCCGAAGGGAAACCGAGUCUUAACUGGGCGUUAAGUUGCAGGGUAUAGACCCGAAACCCGGUGAUCUAGCCAUGGGCAGGUUGAAGGUUGGGUAACACUAACUGGAGGACCGAACCGACUAAUGUUGAAAAAUUAGCGGAUGACUUGUGGCUGGGGGUGAAAGGCCAAUCAAACCGGGAGAUAGCUGGUUCUCCCCGAAAGCUAUUUAGGUAGCGCCUCGUGAAUUCAUCUCCGGGGGUAGAGCACUGUUUCGGCAAGGGGGUCAUCCCGACUUACCAACCCGAUGCAAACUGCGAAUACCGGAGAAUGUUAUCACGGGAGACACACGGCGGGUGCUAACGUCCGUCGUGAAGAGGGAAACAACCCAGACCGCCAGCUAAGGUCCCAAAGUCAUGGUUAAGUGGGAAACGAUGUGGGAAGGCCCAGACAGCCAGGAUGUUGGCUUAGAAGCAGCCAUCAUUUAAAGAAAGCGUAAUAGCUCACUGGUCGAGUCGGCCUGCGCGGAAGAUGUAACGGGGCUAAACCAUGCACCGAAGCUGCGGCAGCGACGCUGAUGCGUUGUUGGGUAGGGGAGCGUUCUGUAAGCCUGUGAAGGUGUACUGUGAGGUAUGCUGGAGGUAUCAGAAGUGCGAAUGCUGACAUAAGUAACGAUAAAGCGGGUGAAAAGCCCGCUCGCCGGAAGACCAAGGGUUCCUGUCCAACGUUAAUCGGGGCAGGGUGAGUCGACCCCUAAGGCGAGGCCGAAAGGCGUAGUCGAUGGGAAACAGGUUAAUAUUCCUGUACUUGGUGUUACUGCGAAGGGGGGACGGAGAAGGCUAUGUUGGCCGGGCGACGGUUGUCCCGGUUUAAGCGUGUAGGCUGGUUUUCCAGGCAAAUCCGGAAAAUCAAGGCUGAGGCGUGAUGACGAGGCACUACGGUGCUGAAGCAACAAAUGCCCUGCUUCCAGGAAAAGCCUCUAAGCAUCAGGUAACAUCAAAUCGUACCCCAAACCGACACAGGUGGUCAGGUAGAGAAUACCAAGGCGCUUGAGAGAACUCGGGUGAAGGAACUAGGCAAAAUGGUGCCGUAACUUCGGGAGAAGGCACGCUGAUAUGUAGGUGAAGUCCCUUGCGGAUGGAGCUGAAAUCAGUCGAAGAUACCAGCUGGCUGCAACUGUUUAUUAAAAACACAGCACUGUGCAAACACGAAAGUGGACGUAUACGGUGUGACGCCUGCCCGGUGCCGGAAGGUUAAUUGAUGGGGUCAGCGCAAGCGAAGCUCUUGAUCGAAGCCCCGGUAAACGGCGGCCGUAACUAUAACGGUCCUAAGGUAGCGAAAUUCCUUGUCGGGUAAGUUCCGACCUGCACGAAUGGCGUAAUGAUGGCCAGGCUGUCUCCACCCGAGACUCAGUGAAAUUGAACUCGCUGUGAAGAUGCAGUGUACCCGCGGCAAGACGGAAAGACCCCGUGAACCUUUACUAUAGCUUGACACUGAACAUUGAGCCUUGAUGUGUAGGAUAGGUGGGAGGCUUUGAAGUGUGGACGCCAGUCUGCAUGGAGCCGACCUUGAAAUACCACCCUUUAAUGUUUGAUGUUCUAACGUUGACCCGUAAUCCGGGUUGCGGACAGUGUCUGGUGGGUAGUUUGACUGGGGCGGUCUCCUCCUAAAGAGUAACGGAGGAGCACGAAGGUUGGCUAAUCCUGGUCGGACAUCAGGAGGUUAGUGCAAUGGCAUAAGCCAGCUUGACUGCGAGCGUGACGGCGCGAGCAGGUGCGAAAGCAGGUCAUAGUGAUCCGGUGGUUCUGAAUGGAAGGGCCAUCGCUCAACGGAUAAAAGGUACUCCGGGGAUAACAGGCUGAUACCGCCCAAGAGUUCAUAUCGACGGCGGUGUUUGGCACCUCGAUGUCGGCUCAUCACAUCCUGGGGCUGAAGUAGGUCCCAAGGGUAUGGCUGUUCGCCAUUUAAAGUGGUACGCGAGCUGGGUUUAGAACGUCGUGAGACAGUUCGGUCCCUAUCUGCCGUGGGCGCUGGAGAACUGAGGGGGGCUGCUCCUAGUACGAGAGGACCGGAGUGGACGCAUCACUGGUGUUCGGGUUGUCAUGCCAAUGGCACUGCCCGGUAGCUAAAUGCGGAAGAGAUAAGUGCUGAAAGCAUCUAAGCACGAAACUUGCCCCGAGAUGAGUUCUCCCUGACUCCUUGAGAGUCCUGAAGGAACGUUGAAGACGACGACGUUGAUAGGCCGGGUGUGUAAGCGCAGCGAUGCGUUGAGCUAACCGGUACUAAUGAACCGUGAGGCUUAACCUUACAACGCCGAAGGUGUUU